rnacentral:rRNA from 1 species
AACUCGGGUUAAGGAACUCUGCAAAUUGAUACCGUAACUUCGGAAGAAGGUAUGCCUUCGAUGGUGUAGGGAUUUACUCCCGAAGCUGUUGAAGGUCGCAGGUAAUCGGUGGCUGCGACUGUUUAUCAAAAACACAGUACUCUGCGAACACGCAAGUGGAAGUAUAGGGUCUGACGCCUGCCCGGUGCCGGAAGGUUAAUUGAUGGGGUUAGCCGCAAGGCGAAGCUCUUGAUCGAAGCCCCGGUAAACGGCUGCCGUAACAAUAACGGUCCUAAGGUAGCGAAAUUCCUUGUCGGGUAAGUUCCGACCUGCACGAAUGGCGUAACGCUGGCCACACUGUCUCGACCCGAGACUCAGUGAAGUUGAAAUCGCUGUGAAGAUGCGGCGUUCCCGCGGCAAGACGGAAAGACCCCGUGAACCUUCACUACAGCUUUACACUGAACUUUGAACCUUUCUGUGUAGGAUAGGUGGGAGGCUAUGAAACUUAGGCGCUAGCUCGAGUGGAGCCAACCUUGAAAUACCACCCUGGGAUGUUUGAAGUUCUAACCCUGGUCCGUAAUCCGGAUUGGGGACAGUGUAUGGUGGGUAGUUUGACUGGGGCGGUCUCCUCCCAAAGAGUAACGGAGGAGUGCAAUGGUACGCUCAGUGCGGUCGGUCAUCGCGCUCUAGAGUGCAAAGGCAUAAGCGUGCUUAACUGUGAGACAGACACGUCGAACAGGUACGAAAGUAGGUCUUAGUGAUCCGGUGGUUCUGUAUGGAAGGGCCAUCGCUCAACGGAUAAAAGGUACUCCGGGGAUAACAGGCUUAUUCCUCCCAAGAGUCCACAUCGACGGAGGAGUUUGGCACCUCGAUGUCGGCUCAUCACAUCCUGGGGCUGUAGCAGGUCCCAAGGGUAUGGCUGUUCGCCAUUUAAAGUGGUACGCGAGCUGGGUUCAGAACGUCGUGAGACAGUUCGGUCCCUAUCUGCCGUGGGCGUUGGAAACUUGAGGGUGAGCUGUCCUUAGUACGAGAGGACCGGGAUGGACGUAUCUCUGGUGUUCCGGUUGUCACGCCAGUGGCACUGCCGGGUAGCUAUAUACGGACGGGAUAAGCGCUGAAAGCAUCUAAGCGCGAAGCCCCCCCCAAGAUUAGGUUUCCCUGGGAACUCGAUUCCCCUAAAGAGCCGUCGGAGACUACGACGUUGAUAGGCUGGGUGUGUAAGUGCAGCAAUGCAUUGAGCUAACCAGUACUAAUUGCCCGUGAGGCUUGACC